GUGGGGAGAGAGGGAGACGUAGAAUCCAAAGCAGGCUCCAGGCUCUGAGCUGUCAGCACAGAGCCCCACGUGGGGCUUGAAUUCAUGAACCAUGAGAUCAUGACCUGAGCCGAAGUCAGACACUUAACUGACUGAGCCACCCAGGCAACCCUAGAAGAUACUAACUCUUAGUUAAACUUCUCUCAUUUCUUUUCCAUGGAAAGUUCAAAAUUCUAAAAUUCAAGAUGUUAAAACGUUAGAGAUUUAAAUUUGUCCAUUUUUUUUUCAUGGAUAAAGCAUAUUAAAUUCUGCUCUCGGCAUAGAAUUCAAUUCAGCAAGCAUUUGUUAAAAAAUUAAUAUUUAAACAUUUAAAAAAUUUAAAAUUUAUGAAAACCUUUCACUCAUUCUUUCUGUCAUAUUAAAUCCCAGUUUUUCUUUCUGCUUUCGAAUGCUCUCCAAAGUCAGGCAGCUGUUAUCUGCAGUUUUAUUCUUCAAUGAAAAUUUUCUAAAAGAAAAGAAAAGAAAAGAAAAGAAAAGAAAAGAAAUUGUCAGUCAAGUAGCACAGUGGAUAAGGGGAAAGUCUUGGGGCCAGUGGGCUUGGGUUCAAAUCUAGUACUUUCUGUGUGACCAGGAACAAUAUACCCAGCCUCUGUACACCUCAGUUUUCUCAUCUGAAAAUGGGGCUCCAUUAAGAAUUACUUCACUGGGUUGCUAGAAAGAGUAAAUAUGCAGUUUGUUAAGCACUUAACAAAGAACCUGACGCUUGGUUAACAUGCUCAGUAAUUCUAGGUGACUUCCAAUGUGUCAUCUUUGCAAGAGAUUUUCUAGGAAAUAGAAGAUGAGUUUUGGUGUUAUUAGGGUGGGAACUAGGUACUGUGAAAUUAUUUUCCAAGAAUACAUGUCAAUAUGCAUGCUUGACAGCAGUAUAAGUAGGUUCCCAUCUCUCUGCAUUGUUGCUGGUGCUUUCUACUGUCAGAUCAGGCCUGCCCAGCGCACGAGGACACGUCCCCAUAUACUAAAUAUCUCCCUAUUUAAAAGUUUGGAGUUAAGAUACGAAGCAUCUAAGUAAAACUGGGACAUCUUGGAUAUCUUGGAUAGCAUCUUCCUCUGGAGAAUAUGGCUUCAUACUGACCUGGAGAACCAGAUGUGAACUUAGAAUUCUGAUUCCUUGGAGUUCUGUGCUAUGACGUGGCAACACGGAGCAUCGAUGGUGUCCUUGGCCUCUUCCUAUCCUCUUGUCCAACCCCCAGCUCCAUCCUGCACUGCCACAGGCCUUGCACGCACACGCGCAGGGCCCUGCCCAGCCACGCCUCUUAGGGUACCACACACCCAGGGACGUGUGGUCUGCUUUCAGGAGGACAGCCCCAGGGAAGAGGUCCGUGCAGGUUCUAGAAGCAGACUUCUCUGGAUAGGGUAGGGCUCUGGGUACCCCAAGGUGGGGGGGGGGCACGAUGUCUCUGAACACAUCUGUUGGCUCCGUGGACUUUUCUCUGCUGGAGCUGGUGGAGGGCCACGGUGGGCCCCCAGAGCUGUGAUGCUUGGUGAACUUAGAGCUUUUGUCCAUCAGAGGGUGCACAAUAGUAUCUCCUUGUUUUCAUUUGCGUAAUUCUGAUUAUUAGGAGGUUGAGAAAUUUUUCAUACAUUUUUGGAAUUUUUCUAUUGAGCUGAUGUUUUCCCUAUAGACUAAGUCUGUAUAUUUUUAUUUAUGUAUGUAUGUAUGUAUUUAUUUAUUUAUUUAUUUAUUUAUUUAGAGACCUAGAGAGCCAGCGGGGCUGAGAGGGGCAGAGAGAGAGAGAGAGAGAGAGAGAGGGAGAGAGAGAGAAUUCCAAGCAGCCUCAGCGCUGUCAGUUAACAGCCGAUAUGGGGCUCGAUUUCACAAACCAUGGGAUCAUAACCCAAGCCAAGACCUGGCCUCCUAACCGACUGAGCCGCCAAGGCGCCCUCUCUACAUGUUUUGAAUACAUAAAGAUACUUCAUCUCUUAGUAAGUAUCGCCAUUUUCUCCUCUCAGACUGGACUUUGUCUUUUGACAGGCAUUUUAAAUUUUGAUGAUGUCAGAUUUAUCACUUUUUUCCUUGUGAUUUUUGUUUAAGGAAUCUCAUUAUUCUGAGGUUGUAAAAAUAUUAUUCUAUCUUUUUUUUUUUUUCCUAAAGAUUUUACUCCCAUCUGGGUCUUUAAUCUAUUUGGAAUUUAUCUAAGGCCUUUACGUGGAUUUUCACAUUUAAUCCUGGCAGUCAUCUGUGAGUUAGGCACUCUUAUUUCCUAGUGGGCAGAUGAUUUGAAAGCUCAGAGGGGUUAAAUGACUUGCCCAAAGUCACACAGCUGGUGAGGGCAGAGCCAUGAGUGGAUUUCAGGUUGCGAUGUGCUGGGACACACACAGGAUUAUUAAAACUCUGGGGAUUUCUAGGGAGACCGAUCCAGGAAGUAAGAGUGAUGGGAAUUUUGAUUGGACAGCCAGCUCUCAUGGACCAACAGGUAAAGCCAGACAGAGGAUUGUCUCUCUCCCUCUCUUCUCGCCCUUCCCCCACUUGCUCUCUAUCUCUCAGAAUAAAUCAAUUAAAAAGAACAAACAACCAUAUAGAGACCCAGUCAAUAAGGAAAACAUCAACUCAGUAGGGCCUCGUGGAGACUGCAACACAGUUUAGGAAUUGCAUGGUUGUUACAGUUUAUCUAAUAAACGCUUCCAUAGCGUGUUAUGUGCCAGUCAUUGCUCUAAGCAUUGCAUAAAUAUUAACUCAAUUUAACUUUUAUAACAACCCUAUGAGGCAGGUACUAUUAUUUGUCCAUUUUACAGAUGGGAAAAACUGAGGCACAGUCAGGAACUUACACAAGGUCACACAGCCCCCGAUGGGUGGCAGGACCAGGAUUCAAACCGAGGUUGUCUAGUUCCAAGUCUGAGCGCGCAGUCACGGCUGUGCUAGCGAUGGAGUGUGGCCCCGCGGACCGUAUGGGGCCUCUCCACCAGCUGUGUCCUUCAUGCCAGGCUUCAGAGCUGUGCCUUUUGCUCAUGCCCUUUGUCCCUGCUUCUACUGCUCUGCAGCCGUUAACUGCCUCUUUCUCUGUGUCUCAAGGGCAACUUCCCCAAAGAGGAGACCUGGUCUUCAUCCAAUACAGACAUCUGUCUUAGCCAAGCUCCCGAGCCAGGCUAUCUCUGGGUAGCCAGGAGAUUGGCUGUUUUUAGGUGAGGUCCCCAAACAUUCAUGGUCUAACCAGUUACUGUUAUGGUGGUGGGGUCCUGAGGUCCAGCUCAUGCCCUAACUGGGCGGCAGGGUGGGGAUAUGGCACUUCUCUCACAAUGGGGCUGUGGCAUGGCAGGAUUUGGGAGUGCAGUCAAUUUGUCCCUGGGACCCAGGCAUGAGUGAAGCAUAGGGCUCAGUGCCAGCCCGGAAGCAGGACUAAAUCCUCCCAAGGGCAUCCAGCGUCUCGUCCUGAUGUGGUCUGCGAUUUUCCUAAGUGUUCCACAAUCGUGCUCCACAACUAAACAUGAAGACCACCUUGCCUUUCUGGUGCACAUCUCUGACUUGGUGUAUACAGCUCAUCUGUAAAAUGUGGUAAGUUGUUGAGAAUCGUCGAGGCAAAAGCUCAUCACAACUGUGAAGAAAUUCCUUCUUACGAACUUUCUUGUCCUCUUAAUUGGCAGGAAGUGAGUUUCUGUAAAGCAGGUUUGAGAUUGCAGGAGCAGAUGUAAGGCAGUAAGAGUAGGAACGGACCCCCAUUGGAGCCCGGCUUUCGCAUCACGCAGACGGACUCUGUCCUCUGUCAACAACGCUUCCUUCCUGCCCGCCCCAGAUUCUGGUUGCUUUUUUAAUCCAUGCCAUCAGAGAAGGCAAAUGCCACAGAGUGUCUAUUUCUCUUUCAGGGUUCAAAAUAUCAGUCACAAUGUUGUAGCCGAUGACCCUGGGUUGGCCGGUCAAGGAAACGCAGCCCAACCCACCACCGUCCCCAGGCAGUUUGGAAACAAAUCGAAUGGAGGGUGGGGAUGGAGGCAUGGAGGGCGCAAAGGGGAAAUUGUCCCUGGCAGUCAGUCCAGGGCCUUCUUACGCUGUCGGCGCGCUCUCUGAGGUUUCUCUGUAUUUCUUAAACAUGGCUUUUAAAUGGGGUUUGUGAUUUUGUAACACCCUGAAUUAAUUUACAGGCCUUUUGAAGCAAGAGGAGUUGUGCGGUGAGGGUGAGGGUUGGCCUCUCCUCUGGGGAGAGUGAGGCAGAGCCGGCCCGGGACGCUUCCCUGGGGGUUUGCACACCCUCGACCUGGGGGGUAGCCUUGAUUUCAUGUUUCCUGUGUUGUCUUUAGACCACUUUCCCCCACUUUGGUUUGGAAAGUCACCUUUCUACAACUUCCCCUUGACUUCAAUAAUCUCUUCCCAAGUGGCUAAGGCCCUCCUGUUACCUCAGCUUUUCGGUCAGAACAACUCACAGUGGAGUGCUGGAGGCUCCCUGAGUUGUCUGCAUGGCACAGAGGAGAGUGUUGGGGUGACACAGGCCCUCUCUCGGACGCGUGGGCCCUGACACGGAGUUCCUGGCAGGAGUGAAGGACAUGGUCUCACGUAGGGGUUGACAGAAGGUACUGACCUUACGGUCACUUUUUCCAUUCCUCAUAACUUACCCUCUGAGUGGGGAAGGGACGGUGGUUCCUCCCGGUCCCAAUCCCCUGUCCCUUUGGCCAACUUUCAUUUUGUGAUGGAAAAAAAGAAUACUGUUUACUUAGCAUUUUCAACGUGCCAGGCACUAUUCUAAACGCUUCAUGGAAAUAUUAACUCAUUUAAUCUAUACGACAACCCUGUGCGGUAGAUACGCCCCUUUUUGUUUUUUGGUUUUUUUUUUUUUUUAAUCCUGAUUUUACCAAGGAGGGAACUGAGGCACAGGGUGGCUUGUAGCUUUGCUUAAUGAUACAAGCAUGGGACCAUUACAGAGCUCUCCGUGGUGAUGUUCUGAGCCAGGGUCCCAAUCAAUCCGCCAUGUUGGCCUCCCUGACCUCACACCUCAGUCCCAGCCCACCUGAGCUUGCUGGGUUACUUAUGUUUGAGGACUCAUUGCAGUCAGUUGCUUCAUUUCACUUCAAGGUCACGUCUCUGCCUGCAAAACAGAAUCCAUCCCAGGGUACUGCAUGGAGGGGCCUGAUGUGCAAGGUGACACGACCCAUUUAAACAGAAAGUCAUUAUCAUUCAUUCUAAAAUGUCCACUCAGCUCCAGGGCAGGUGAGCCAGGAGGUCACCAUAAGGUCAGCCUCACUGUAGGUCUGUUGCUUUCACGGGCUUCAGACCCCUCACAUACCCUGAAAGCUUAGGAAAUUCAAAGUCAGUCGGCCCAUUGUUCUUCAGCUUCUUCAAAUUCUGGCAUAACCACCAAGCUAAUCUAUUUGGAGGAACACAGAAUCAAAGCCCGAAUAAGCAUGUUCAAAAGAAAAAAAAAAAAAGGUUUUGAGUUUCUCACCGAAGGACAAUCCUGAAGAUGCUCAGGGGAAAGCUGAGCAGACAACUGAGAUGAAUCUGAGCCAGUGCCCUGGGCUACACUGCUUUAUGCCAUCAUUACUGUUUGCCUGGUGGCUCUGAAUAGGCCUGGUUCUCAGUAGGACCUCCGUCUGUUGGUGUCAGUAGAGAGUAAAUGGCGGGAUGAAUAGUAUAGUAUAUAACCGGCAUCCUGCCCUCAGAGGACUGCAGCCCAGAAGCCGUGAGGCCCGGCUUCCCUGGGUGCUACCUUCUUUCCUUCCUCGCUUCACUGGUCUCCUCAGGUCGGGGCUGUAGGAAUUCCCUCCCUUCAGCUAUGUUAACAUCUCUCCACUCUUCUCGAAUCUCUGACCCCGCACUUCCUCCCUUCUCACUCUCAGAGCAAACAGAAACUAUGGGAGAGAACUUUGAGAACUUUCUGCUACCAAAUCUACAGCGUUCGUUCCUCCUCGGCUGUUCUCUUCAGAGCUGCUGCUGUGGAGAAGGUGGGGCGGCUCCUCUCCCUUCUCGUCUCCACAGGGACUUCUCUUCAUGAUUGAUUAUUCCUCCCCACUUGUGCCUUCCAGCUCCUUCUAGGGUGCCUUCCCAUCUGCAUUCAUACUUGCUUAGGUCUCAUUCACAAGUUCAACAAAAAUGCCCCCCCCCCGACUACAGGCUCCUUCCCUUCAUGGCCAAACUUCUUGAGAGUUCGUCUGCUCUCCUCACAUCUCAUUCAUUUCCUGAUUCUGUUGCCACCAACACGGUUCUUUUUUUUUUUUUUUUUUUUUUUUUUACUUUUUUU